CUGAAAACAGUGAUGUGAAACCCCAAACUCAAAACAGUGGUGACAGACCCCAAACUCAGAUGAAAACGGGUCAGACCCCAAACUCAAAUAAAAACAGAGGAUUUAGAUUUUGUUUCCAAACCCAAAACUCUAAAUGAAAACAGUGGAUUUAGGUUUUAUUUCCAGACCCCAAACUCCAAAUAAUAACAGGAUUUGGGUUUUAUUUCCAAACCCCAAAUAAUAACAGUGGUUUGUGGGUUUUAUUUCCAAACCCCAAACUCUGAAUGCAAACAGUGGUUUGCAGAUCAAACCCCAAACCUCCAAAUUACAAGAGUGGGUUUUUAGGUUUUAUUUUCCAGCUCCAAAACACUGAAUGAAAACGGGGAUCAAAACUCCAAAUGCAAACAGUGGGGUUCAGGUCUUGUUUUCAGAACUCCCAACUGUAAAUGCAAACAGUGGUUUGCAGGUCUGAUUUUCAAUCCCAAAUCUCUGAGUGCAAACAGGGUGUUUAGGUUUUAGUUUCCAAACCCCAAAACUCAAUAAUAAUAAUAAUAAUAGUAAUAGUAAUAAUAAUAAUGGAGGAUUUAGGUUUUAUUUGCAAACCCCAAAACUCUAAAUGAAGACAGGGGUUUAGGUUUUAUUCCCAAACUCUGAAUGCAAACAGGAGUUUUUUAGGUUUUAUUUUCAAACCCCAAAGCUCCAAAUGCAAACAGUGGCUUGUAGGUCUUGUUUCCAAACCCCAAAACUCUGCAUGAAAACAGUGGUUUGAUUUCCAAACCCCAAACCCUGCAUGAAAACAGGGGUGUCAAACCCCAAACUUGUAAUGAAAACAGAGGAUUUGGGGUUUAUUUCCAACCCCCAAACUCCAAAUAAUAACAGUGGAUUUAGGUUUUAUUUCCAAACUCCAAAUGCAAACAGUGGGUUUAGGUUUUAUUUCCAACCCCCAAACUCUGAAUGCAAACAGUGGGUUUAGGUUUUAUUUCCAACCCCAAACUCUGAAUGCAAACAGUGGUUUGCAGAUCAAACCCCAGCACUCCAAAUUAAAAGAGUGGCUUUUAUAGGUCUGACUUCCCAACCCCAAAACACUGAAUGAAAACAGGGAUCAAAAGUCCAAACUCUCAAAUGAAAACAGGGCUUUGGAAGGCUUGGUUUCCAAACUGUGCCUGAAAACAGUGGGGUCAGACCCCAAACUCUGCUGAAAACAGUGGUGUGAAACCACAAACUCUGCCUGAAAACAGAGGAUUUGGAGUUAUUUCCAAACCCCAGAACUCCAAAUAAUAACAGGAUAUAAGUUUAAUUUCCAAACCCCAAAACUCCAAAUAAUACCAGGAUUUAGGUUUCAUUUCCAGAGCCCAGAACUCCAGACAGGGCUUUGCAGAUGAAAGCCCCAAGUCCUCCAUGAAACCCUUGUUUGCAGCUCUUCUUUGCAAGCCCCAAACUCUUAAAUACAAACUUUUAACUACAACAAAAAAAAAGGGGAUUGGGGUCUUACUUCUCUUAUAACAACAACUUGUGGGGCUGUCCUGGCUGUCCUGGGUGAGGGUGGUGCCCAGGGAGUCCCUCCCAUGGCAGUGCCCCCUUCCCCGGGCUUCCCAGCGGGAUUGGAGGUGUUCACAGCAGGAAAGGCUCUCCCCUUUGCCAGGCCCGUGGUGGGUGGGGUUGGGAGUGGGCAAUUCCCGGUGUCCCAU